CAGGGUCUCCUCCGGCUCAGCCCCCCGGUCCCCUGGCCCUGCGGCGGUCCCGGAGGCGUUGGGUUUUGUCCGCCUUGCCUUGCCUGGCACUUUGCGCGGCUCCGACGCUACCGAGCGGCCGCCGGCGGCCCCUCGCUUCAGCCACGUUGUGCUGAAAUCCCAGCCCCCUCCCCACAAAACGCUCCCCUCCCGAGUCCUCUCCAGAUGCCAUAAAUUUUCAUUAGUCUUCUGUAAUUUAAUGAUCUAUUCCCACGAGAAAAUUAGACUUCAAUUUACAAAGAAAUCCCUGUUAAUUUAAGCAUAAUAAUAGAAGAGUGACGUGAACGCUCCAGCCUGGUCUUGUACCUACAGGUAUCGCUCUCCCCGUCUUCCCGCCAAGGGUAAUUAGGAGGGAGAAUUUUAAUAAAACACCAAAGUCCAUUUGAAAAUCUCCUGAUGGAGACGGCAGAGGAAAAGGGUCCUGAGGGCAAGAAAAGCAAUUUCCUUCUAAAACAAGAGGUUAUUUUGAACCAGGCAAAUACACAGGCGGCACUGAAUGGCAAUGCUGAAGGAGCCUGAUUUCUGAGAGAGGCAAGAACAAAGUGCGCGCGCCAAAGAAAUGGCCGGAUCUUGGCCCCAAAAGACACCCGCGUUUACUUUCUGUUAUUAUUCUAUUUUUAUUUUCUUUGAUUUAUUCCAGCGUUAGAGAAAAGCAUCAAGUGGGAACUGCCAGUUUCCCAUGGCACCCCUACCAGCGGGCACAGCUGUCACGGGGCCUGAUGGGACGCUGGGACAGCUUUGGGAAGCGCUGGGCCUGUCCCAUGGCUGGACUUUGGUCUCAAACACCGAUCUUGCACGUUUGCAAGCCGACAACUUGAAGGACUCCAGGGAGCAAAUUGCUUCCCCGUCUUCGUCUUCCUUUCCCAGAACAGGAUCCCAGGACCGCUUGCCUCUUGGCGCGGGGAGCAGGAUUCGCUCCUUCUAGCCCUCGUUACGCUGACGGCGAUAUGCAGAACCGGAGCAGGCCUCUAUCGCUGCUCCUGGCAGACGGGACCCAUCUUCUGCGCAGAUAUUGAGAUAGAUGAUGGUGGCUCUGCUCAUUAGAGGCAGUAGCAAAGGUGGCUCUUAAGCCUCCAGUCUGGAAACAUAAGAUGCUUCCCCCCACCGUAAGGCUGAGCAGGCACCGUGCCGUGGUUUCAAUAAUGCAGAAGCUCCUUCCUUGAAGAGGCACGGGGCAGAAGUAAGAGCACGAGGACAUCCGCUGCGCCAGACCGGGUCAGACCCGUGGUCCUCGUAGCCCGGCCGUGGCAGGAGAGGAUGCUGCAUGGGGAGAGCACCAAACCGACUCUCUAGAGCGACCCGGCCCCUUUUCGAUACCCCCCCUGACACCUGCCAGUAUUGGGCCAGCCAUGCCCGAGGAAACGUCUCCAACCGUUCUUUUCGGCAGCUGCAAAUAAAUCUAUCCUUCAUGAAUUUAGCCAGUCCCUUUUUGGACCGGGCUGUGCUCUCGGGCGCUGCCGCCUCCUGCGGCAAAGAGUUGCAUACCUUAACCACGCGCUGCAUCGCAAAAGGUAUGUUCUCUCGAUCGUGUUAAACCUGUCGCCUGCUGCUGUCAGCGGGCGCCCUGGGACUUGGAGGACGGCAGUUCCCUGUUCCCUCGGCCUACACCCUUCGUGGUUUUGCAGACCUGUCCUAUUCCCCCUCGGCUUGUUCCAAACAGAGGAGUCCGAGCUGUUUUACUCUCUGGUCUGGCACCUGCUCCAGGAGCACUUGCCCUUCUCUUUACCUUUUCUAAUGCUACUACAUCCUCUCUGAGAUGUGGGACAAGACCUGCACGAGUCUUCGAGAUGUGAGGAUCCUCUCUUCUCCACCGCAGCCAGCGAGUGGGACCCAGCGCCGAGAGCUCACGUUCCCCGUGGGGAAAAGCAGGGCCGAGGUUGGGUGUGGGGACCCUCGGGUUGGAAGAAAAGCAGCCUGGAAGCAAAUGGUUUCCUGUUGGCUUGGGCUCCCGACUCGUGUUGUUGUCGUUCCGGUUUCUUCCCUUUAACCUGUGCACUGUGGUGGCACCAGAGGCUCCUCCGGGCCAGGAAGCCUUCGUGCUGGCGCUGUACAGAUGGAGGAACCCUGCCGCACGUGCUCGCUGUUUGAAGGACAAGGGGGCAAGCGGGGGAAAGUUUCUAUAAACCCCCCAGUUUAUAGAGUCAUAGUCAGUGAGGGUGGGAAGGGAGCUCAGGAGGUCACCUCUAGUCCAACCCCUGCUCCGAGCAGGACCAGCCCCAGCUACAUCAUCCCAGCCAGGGCUUUGUCUACCCGGGGCUUCAACACCUCCAAGGAUGGAGACUGCACCACCUCUCUGGGUGACCUGCUCCAGUGCUUCACCACCCUCCUUGUAAGAUUUUUUUUCCUAAUAUCCAACCUCAGCUUCCCUCGCUGCAGCUGGAGCCCAUUGCUCCUUGUCCUGCCAUCUGCCCCCACUGAGACCAGCCCGGCUCCAUCCUCUUUGCAGCCCCCCUGAAGGCUGCUAUUCAAUCCCCCUCGGUCUUCUCUUCUGCAGACUCAAUCAGCCCAGCCCCCUCAGCCUCUCCUCGCCAGUCCUGUCCCCCGGCCCCCAAAUCAUUUUUGUUACCCUCUGCUGGACUCAAAAAUGGUUUUGCUCCUUGCUCAAGAACCUGAACCUGUAGCAAGAGACGGUGGGGCCUGGCGUGCCCACCUGCAGCGCCGGUACGCCCCGAGCUUGGGCAGCUGUGAAUUUUGCAGGACGGCUGAGUCUGGCCGGUCUCCUGACAUGACGCCCAUCACUCUCGAGGCAUUUAGAGGAGCCCCGAGCCAGGAGCCUUUUCCCAGCUCCUGCGUCUGCAAUAGGGAAGGGACAGGGAGCAAGUCCACGCCCCGUCUCUUCGGAGCCAGCAGCACGCAGCAGAGCGGGUCUCUGGCUGCCUCGCCGGCCUGUUUGACGGAUGGAGGUUCCCGUGGAAGAGGCCGGCUCUCUGGCCUGCUUUCCCCAGGCCAGCCGUGUACGACUGCAGUGUCCCCCAAGACCGGCGGUCGGAGUAUUGCUGCUGGGGUGGGUGGGAAGGAGAUGCUGCAGGGCUUUCCCAGAGGCUGCUCCAUCAGCCUCCAAGGUCAAGGGCAGUCCAUCCCCACGCUCUGUCGCUCCUCUCGGGAGCUGCUGACCCCCUUGGUCAGUCCGUCCAAGGCACUGGAGGAUGCCGCUGACCCCAGCCCCUAGAGCUAAUGCAGUCCCAGCUGCAUCGGUCCCCUGGGCCCCGUGGGAGGUGCUGGGCCACCGUCCUCUCCUUUCCUGUGCCACGUCCUGGUCUAAUGCGUGCACAGCGUGGCUCGCAGGCCACAGUCCUGGCGUAGCCUCAGUGGCCGUCGCGGCUACCCGUGCGCCUGUGAGGCUGUGAUGGGCUCCAUCUAUCUCCCCUGGACCUUGGGAGACUGCUCUCCCCGUCCCGCUCGGCUCCGUUUUCUGCAGCCCCUUGUCGGGGGCCCAGGGGGUUGGCUCGCGGCCCGUGGGCCAGGAAGCCCGUUCGGAAACCUCCGCCGUAAUCCAGAGGCCCGGGGUGCUGUCAGGGCUCUCCCGGCACAGGUACGUGCCAGACUCGGAGGCGCUGGGGCCAUUGCUGCCGGGGCCGAGCAACCUGCAGGGCCAGGGAGCAGGUCCACGGGGCACCUACGCACCCAUCGCCUCGCACAGAUGCAGACUGCCUGCCCCCGGCCCGACACCGUGGGGUCGCACGUGCUGACCCCCCUGCCUGGCAGAUCGGACAUGUCGCGCUUUAGCUGUCCGUGCUUUAAACGUUCCCAUCCUCUGCGCGCGUUUCCACCCCGAAGCCAGCCACGGUCUGUCUCGUGGGAGACCUGGAACCACGCAGGUCCUGCAAAGGGACCGUGCAGACAAGGCAAAAUGAAGCCAAGGUGUUCGGACCUCGUGGGAAAGGGCGGGCUUGGCUCUGCGUGCGGGUUUGGGGCUGUCCUGCACCCAGCUGGUUCCCCUGUCCCGGCGGGGCAGGGUGGGGAGCACGGCAUCAGGGCAGCGCGUUGCACUGCACGGGGACGGGGAGCGUGCGAGCUCCGGGGUUGGAAGUGAACGCAGAGGCCGAGCCGGCGGCGGUUGCUGAGUGCAGAGAGCCGGAUCCAGCGUCUCCAGUAGCGAGGAGGAAUGUAAGUAAUGGUCUCUUCCCAGUCCGUCCUUACCCCGAGCUGCUGUUAAAUGGGAAGGGAAAUCUAUUUCCUGUUCCAAAAAAAGAAAAAGAGCGAGUGAGCUCCACGUUAAAUAUAGAUAUAUGAUAUGUAAAUGAAUCUGACAACUGAGUGAAUAAAAAAUGAAGGUUUAAAUUAUUGAAGGGCAGGAGGAACGGGUGCGUGCAAAGAGCAGUUCUGUGGGAAGAGGCGGCUCUGUGCAGGGGAGGGAGCAUUCGAAAUGUAAUUAUUUCUUUUAAGAAAAGGGCCACGCGUUCAAUAAAAACCAACAGAAUCAGCA